GCCGGGGUGGUGAAAUUGGCAAACACGCAGGUUUCAAAAACCUGUGAGCGCAAGCUCUUGAGGGUUCAAGUCCCUCCCUCGGCACCA
rnacentral:tRNA from 1 species